rnacentral:rRNA from 1 species
GACGAACGCUGGCGGCGUGCUUAACACAUGCAAGUCGAACGGAAAGGCCCUGCUUUUGUGGGGUGCUCGAGUGGCGAACGGGUGAGUAACACGUGAGUAACCUGCCCUUGACUUUGGGAUAACUUCAGGAAACUGGGGCUAAUACCGGAUAGGAGCUCCUGCUGCAUGGUGGGGGUUGGAAAGUUUCGGCGGUUGGGGAUGGACUCGCGGCUUAUCAGCUUGUUGGUGGGGUAGUGGCUUACCAAGGCUUUGACGGGUAGCCGGCCUGAGAGGGUGACCGGCCACAUUGGGACUGAGAUACGGCCCAGAAUCCUACGGGCGGCAGCAGUGGGAAAUAUUACACAAUGGGCGGAAGCCUGAUGCAGCAACGCCGCGUGCGGGAUGACGGCCUUCGGGUUGUAAACCGCUUUCGCCUGUGACGAAGCGUGAGUGACGGUAAUGGGUAAAGAAGCACCGGCUAACUACGUG